ACUGAACGCUGGCGGCAUGCUUUACACAUGCAAGUCGAACGGUAGAGGGGGCAACCCCUUGAGAGUGGCGAACGGGUGAGUAAUGCAUCGGAACGUGCCCAGUCGUGGGGGAUAACGCAGCGAAAGCUGUGCUAAUACCGCAUACGAUCUCUGGAUGAAAGCGGGGGACCGAAAGGCCUCGCGCGAUUGGAGCGGCCGAUGUCAGAUUAGGUAGUUGGUGGGGUAAAGGCUCACCAAGCCAACGAUCUGUAGCUGGACUGAGAGGACGACCAGCCACACUGGGACUGAGACACGGCCCAGACUCCUACGGGAGGCAGCAGUGGGGAAUUUUGGACAAUGGGCGCAAGCCUGAUCCAGCAAUGCCGCGUGCAGGAAGAAGGCCUUCGGGUUGUAAACUGCUUUUGUACGGAACGAAACGGUCUGGGUUAAUACCCUGGGCUAAUGACGGUACCGUAAGAAUAAGCACCGGCUAACUACGUGCCAGCCGCCGCCGUAACAC
rnacentral:rRNA from 1 species